GGCGACAUGGCUGAGUGGUAAGGCAGAGGACUGCAAAUCUUUUUUUCCCCAGUUCAAAUCCGAGUGUCGCCU
rfam:Solanum tuberosum cultivar DM 1-3 516 R44 scf00291_36, whole genome shotgun sequence.